GGUCCGAGAAGCAGCCGGGGGCGAAGGCAACGGGGGCACAUGGCGAGGAGGAAGCGUCUCCCGAGCGCUGCUGCAGCUGCUGCUAUGCCUGCUAUCCUGCCCGGCGUCGAGGCAGGCGGACGUUUCGGGUUCUACACACUGCCCUUCUCGUAACGUCUCCAUAGCAGAAGGUUCAGCUGGGAUGAUCUUUGCUAAUGUUUCCAGUUAUUCCUACAUUCGUUAUAUAUGUCAUAAGAACGGUUGCUCUGAUCCUAAUGAUGCCAUAUUAGCCAUAACUGAAGGAGAACUGAAAUUCUACAAUAGCUCAUUCAAGAACGCAAGCAAACAGCUUGCAGGAGAAUACCAACUUGAAGAUUUUGAGAGCAACAUUUGUUUCCAAGUCUUCCUUAGCAUACCAGGGCGCACACCUAUCUGGCCAUACAUCACAGGGAUUUCCAUCAUUUUGCUGCCGUGUUGCAUGCUGUGUUGCAUGAUCUAUCAAAUAAAGAGAAGAAAAGCCCGUUUAGCCUUGCUGCUUAGCAAAUGGACCCCUGCCUUCAGGGUCAUCAGAGGUACAAGAAAUGUGGAAGAGGCUCAUCCAGCAGAGAAAAUGGAGACUCUCUUAUCCCUGGGAAUAAAAACUUCACAAUGUGUGGCUGCAGAGUAGAAGCUGCAGGAUCUUGACCC